GAUGGUGGAUUCUGUCAUGAAACAUUGGCUGCUUGAAACAAAUCUUUCCAAGUUGAACAAAGGAAGAGAGAACAAUUUUCCCAGUGUGUCAGGGAGCCUGGUAAGUUGAACUUAAAUUUCAUUUUUACC
rnacentral:lncRNA from 1 species